rnacentral:rRNA from 1 species
GGCGGCAUGCUUUACACAUGCAAGUCGAACGGCAGCAUGGGUGCUUGCACCUGAUGGCGAGUGGCGAACGGGUGAGUAAUAUAUCGGAACAUGUCCGGAAGUGGGGGAUAACGUAGCGAAAGUUACGCUAAUACCGCAUAUGCCCUGAGGGGGAAAGGAGGGGAUCGUAAGACCUUUCGCUUUCGGAGUGGCCGAUAUCAGAUUAGCUUGUUGGCGAGGUAAAGGCUCACCAAGGCGACGAUCUGUAGCUGGUCUGAGAGGACGACCAGCCACACUGGGACUGAGACACGGCCCAGACUCCUACGGGAGGCAGCAGUGGGGAAUUUUGGACAAUGGGCGAAAGCCUGAUCCAGCCAUGCCGCGUGAGUGAAGAANGCCUUCGGGUUGUNAAGCUCUUUCAGCCGGAAAGAAAUCGUGCAACCUAAUACGUUGU